UGUUUCUUUAUUACUAAAACAAAUAGUUAAAUACUAUCUUUUAGGUUAGGUAUCGUUUUCUUACCAUAUGCUACUAGUUUAUUGAAAAGUAAUAGCCAAGAAAUAUCGACGGUUUGAUUACAAGAUUUUGAAUAAACAUGUAACACCCGUCUCAUUAACACUCGAGACCGGCGUGCUACUAAUCAACAACUUAUAUCUUAAAUCCGUAAAAAGGUCUGAAAGUCGACUUUCAUAUAAAUAACGAAAUAAAUCCAUAAAUCUCAUAGUCGAAAUAACUGAAAUAAUCGUCAAAAUAAUAAAUAAAGGUCUGAGAAAUAGAACAAAGGAAAACGCCUAAAAGCACCAGCUGUCCGAUCAAUCUCCUACUCAUCUGUCUCACCUGAAAGGGCAAAUGAGAGGUGAGUAACGAGGAAGUCACUCAGUGAGGUAUGAGAUACUAAACCCGAAGUCUAUGGACCCGGACAAAGCCCUCCGAAUAAAUAUAAUUUAAUCAUAACACGUUGCAAACACGGUAUCUAAAGUACCCAAAGAUCACACAACAGUCCUAGGGAGGUGCACAUUCGCUGCCCACUAACAGGCCAAAACACCACCGAAUAUGUGCUCAGUAACACACGCCCGUAGACGAUUUAUCGACCUCGAAGCCUUGGCACAACAUGUCGACUAAGCUGUGCCUCAGCAUACACCACAACCAAUGUACUGGUCUCCGAUACUAAUCAACAACUUAUAUCUUAAAUCCGUAAAAAGGUCUGAAAGUCGACUUUCAUAUAAAUAACGAAAUAAAUCCAUAAAUCUCAUAGUCGAAAUAACUGAAAUAAUCGUCAAAAUAAUAAAUAAAGGUCUGAGAAAUAGAACAAAGGAAAACGCCUA
rnacentral:lncRNA from 1 species